AAUCCUACGGGGCGCAGCAGUGGGGAAUAUUGGGCAAUGGGCGAAAGCCUGACCCAGCAACGCCGCGUGAAGGAAGAAGGCUUUCGGGUUGUAGACUUCUUUUGACAGGGAAGAGCAGAAGACGGUACCUGUCGAAUAAGCCACGGCUAACUACGUGCCAGCAGCCGCGGUAAUACGUAGGGGGCAAGCGUUAUCCGGAUUUACUGGGUGUAAAGGGAGUGUAGACGGAAAGGCAAGUCAGAAGUGAAAACCCAAGGCUCAACCAUGGGACUGCUUUUGAAACUGUCAAACUAGAGUACGGGAGG
rnacentral:rRNA from 1 species